CCCCCCCCACCCCACCUGUGGAGGUGUGAGAAAUAUCUAAAUGUCUGUGUUCAUAGCCAGCACUUUCAGCCAGAGGAUUUCGGGAUGGAACUGAAAUGUUCAACUGAUGGGGUUGGCAUGUCGUCGAACAUUGGAAAGGGAUGCCAUUCUAUUGAUUUUCCCUUCACUUCAAAGAGGGAGCUAUCCAAUCAGCCAACAUCUGUGCAGCAGAAAAGAAGUCAAGCUGAGAUUCCAAUCCCAUCAACAUCUGCAGAUGUCUCAACAUCAAGCGCAGCACCAGGACCUAGUAAGACUAGCAGUAGAAACAAGUCUCCUGCAAGAGGUCGAAGCAGUGGGUGGUGAAGAAAGUGUACGAGAGMCUUGUCCACCUGGCUGGGGAGGGCAGAACGGACCAGACGGUUGUCUAUAAGGAGCCGAGUCACAACGCCCAAACCCAACAUCCCUGCCAACAUUGCCACUGCGCCAAAGCUUGCUUAACCAGCUGUCAUUACCUAACCCAAGAAGAGGUUCACCAGCUGAAACAGCAUUCUGGAACCUGCCUGGAACCUUCAACCAACACAACAUCCAUAUUCAGUUAGACUGAUGUUGUAGUAUAGUUAGUGGCGGCCCAUCAUUCAGGGCAGAGCCCCACCUGUUUUGAGCUCCACAUUUUUAGCAAAGAAUUGCCUGUUUUACA